AGUUUUGGUUUCAUUUUGUUUUGAUUAUAUAUAGAGAGAGAAGGAUAAUAUGUAAUCUGCUUUAUUAAUUAUGAAUAUGAACUAAACUAUAUUAGUGGGGCAACUAGGCUGCAGAGAGAGAGAGAGAGAGAGAGAAGCGAAAUAACAUAAAGUACAAGAAAAAGAGACGAAAAAAAUAUACCGACAAAGGCAUAAAGCAGCUAAAUUACUGACUGGAGCGUCUAGUAGUUAGUGAGUCAAUUCACUGUCUUAUCAAGGUUUGGACCAUCCCAAGUGCUAUUAACGGAUCUGUAUUUUUAUAUCUAAAU
rnacentral:lncRNA from 1 species